rnacentral:pre_miRNA from 1 species
UCGGGGUAAAAUAGUGAGUAGCCGACAUGGGGAAGUGAACAACCCUUGGGAUAAGUUUAAAUCUGCUUUUUUUUACUCCAUAAACUUUUUACUGUGGGUAAAAAGAUUUGUCUUGGGGUAUAAAAAAACCAUAUUUAAAUUUAGCCCAAGGUUGAUGAUGUAUUUUCCCCAUGAAGGCUGCUCACUAUUUUACCCCAG